rnacentral:rRNA from 1 species
GUGCCAGCCGCCGCGGUAAGACAGAGGUGCCGAGCGUUAGGCGGAAUCACUGGGCUUAAAGCGUGUGUAGGCGGAUGCCUAAGUGCCUUGUGAAAUCCCCCGGCUCAACCGGGGAAUGGCUGGGCAUACUGGGUGUCUUGAGCUGUCCAGGGGCAACUGGAACAGACGGUGGAGCGGUGAAAUGCGUAGAUAUCGUCUGGAACGCCAAUGGUGAAAACAGGUUGCUGGGGACACGCUGACGCUGAGACACGAAAGCCAGGGGAGCAAACGGGAUUAGAAACCCUCGUAGUCC